AACGAACGCUGGCGGCGCGCCUAACACAUGCAAGUCGAACGAGAAGGCGUAGCAAUACGCUUGUAGAGUGGCGAACGGGGUGAGUAAUACGUGGGUGACCUACCCUCGAGUGGGGAAUAACCCGCCGAAAGGCGGGCUAAUGCCGCGUACGCUUCCGUCCUCACGGGGACGGAAGGAAAGCUGUACCGUGGGUACGGCGCUCAAGGAUGGGCUCACGUCCUAUCAGCUUGUUGGUAGGGUAACGCCUACCAAGGCUACGACGGGUAGCUGGUCUGAGAGGACGAUCAGCCACACUGGCACUGCGACACGGGCCAGACUCCUACGGGAGGCAGCAGUAAGGAAUAUUGCGCAAUGGGCGAAAGCCUGACGCAGCGACGCCGCGGU
rnacentral:rRNA from 1 species